rnacentral:misc_RNA from 1 species
GAUGAAGAACGUAGCGAAAUGCGAUAAGUAAUGUGAAUUGCAGAAUUCAGUGAAUCAUCGAAUCUUUGAACGCACAUUGCGCCCGCCAGUAUUCUGGCGGGCAUGCCUGUUCGAGCGUCAUUUCAACCCUCAAGACCCCUUCGGGGGACUUGGUGUUGGGGACCGGCACAGGGGCCUGCCUGCUUGUCUUGCAGCGCCCUCGCCGCCCCCGAAAUGAAUUGGCGGCCUCGUCGCGGCCUCCCCUGCGUAGUAGCACAACCUCGCAACGGGAACGUGACGGCGGCCACUGCCGUAAAACAACCCCAAUUUUAUUAGAGUUGACCUCGAAUCAGGUAGGAAUACCCGCUGAACUUAAGCAUUUCAAUAAGCGGAGGA